CCCUUAGAUGUUCUGGGCAGCACGCGCGCUACAAUGGUCUUCGCAAACGGAUGCAUUCUCGAAGGAGAAUGCCAAUCUUGGAAUCUAUGCCUUGGUCGGGACAGUUGCUUGCAAUUUUUCGACUCGAACCAGGAAUUCCUUGUAAUCGUGAUUCAUCACAUCACGAUGAAUACGUCCCUGCCCUUUGUACACACCGCCCGUCGCUCCUACCGAUUGAAUGGUCCGGUGAAGCGUUCGGACCGUGGCCUUUGGACGGUUCGCCGUCUGUUGGCUGCGGGAAGUUCGUUAAACCUUAUCAUUUAGAGGAAGGAGAAGUCGUAACA
rnacentral:rRNA from 1 species